UGCCCUGGCAGUCAGAGGCGAUGAAGGGCGUGCUAAUCUGCGAUAAGCGCCGGUAAGGUGAUAUGAACCGUUAUAACCGGCGAUACCCGAAUGGGGAAACCCAGUGUGAUUCGUCACACUAUCAUUACGUGAAUACAUAGCGUAAUGAAGCGAACCGGGGGAACUGAAACAUCUAAGUACCCCGAGGAAAAGAAAUCAACCGAGAUUCCCCCAGUAGCGGCGAGCGAACGGGGAGGAGCCCAGAGCCUGAAUCAGCAUGUGUGUUAGUGGAAGCGU
rnacentral:rRNA from 1 species